GUACUCUCUUUGGCAGCAUGUAUACUAAAGCUGGAACGAUACAGAGAUGAUUUGCAUGGCCCCUGAGCAAGGAUGACAUGCAAAUUCAUGAAGUGUUCCAUAUUUUU
ensembl:snRNA U6 U6 spliceosomal RNA